AAAAUGGUGAGAGGGUUGAAGGGAGUUCCUCACGGGGCUGCGAGGACCCCUCGGGGUCUGACCUACA
rnacentral:pre_miRNA from 1 species